UGCAGUUAAGAUAGCUGUGGCCCAGAAAGCCGCAGGCCAGAAAAAACAGCUUCCUUCAAAGGUCAGGAGACUCCAGCCCAGAAGGCACCUGGUCCAGAGGCACUGGCACAAAAAAAGCAGAAGAGAUCAAAAAAAGGAACAGAUGUUGCCAAGAUGGUUGCAGGCUUGUCAGAAAGCACAGAUUGCAAACUGGGACUCAAAGUUGACAUCUAAAGGGAGUGGAGCCUUCCACCUAUGGGUUCUGCUGGUAACUCCAGGUCCUAAAGGAUCAAACUCAGAUCAUCGGGCUUGGUGGCAAGCACCUCUACCCACUGAGCCAUCCAUCCAGCCUUCAUUUAAAACCUUUAAAGAGAAUUGUUGUGAUUCUCCCUUCUUAUACCAGUGAAGUGACUGUUGAUAUGAAACAACUGCAGGACCCAGACAGUCUUGGAUCAACCAUUGGAGGAUAUCCCCGGGAAAGGCAUUUCCUCGUUAAUGCCAUUGAGAGGACCAGAUGUGCUCAUGUCAUAAAGAGCCUUUCUCCCUAGCACUGGGGAGGCAGAGAGGCAGGGGGAUUUCUGUGAAUCUCAAGGACAGCUUCUGGACUACAUAGUGAGUUCUGGCUCUGCCAAGACUACAUAAAAAGACCCUGUCUCAAACAAAACAACUACAAAAAGUACCCAUCCAGGACAAAGAGCAAAGAUGUGCACCUAUUCUGUGUGCACCCAGCUCUCUGCUCUGCCUCAGCCUCACUCUGGGCCAAUACCCCUGUUGGGUGCUGGCUUGCUUGUAUUCAAGGACUUUUUGCAGCUAUUCCAGUAUUUAGUUGUAGCCAGCCCCUCAACAGUUCUCUGCUAACUGUUUAUGUUUGAGUCCCACACAGCCAAUGAAGACCUGCCUGACAGCAAUCCCUGGACUCAAUGGAAAGAAAAUGGGCCACACCUCCUCGACUGCACUGGAUCCAACUUGCUCCAUUUCAACUGACACUCCGGCCAGAGGUUCGGGUACUGACUUCAAUCAAGUUGAGGAUUUCAAGUGAGAUCUUCAAUCAAGUGAAUCCCAUCUAACAUGGACUGGAUACAAUUCAUUCAAGACUUUCAAUAUACUAACAUUUUCUUCCUACAGGACCCCACAUGACUAUCAUCGUCCCAUUUCAGCAGGAAGUAACUUGGAGAAUGCUACGCCCCCUUUCCCCAUUGUUGUCACUUAGGAUAGUGUAUUUCCUAGUUAGGGAUAGCUUCCUAUUGUUUAUGGUUGAGAUUGGAAGGAGGUGUUCAGGCUUGGACACCUCUUUCAGAUGACUUUAGGGUUUAGUUAAAAUAGAUAGUUAGGAUGUGACAUAAGUAGAUUGUUGUAUCUUCUUAUAUUUUACCUUUACUGUUAAGUUUUAAUCCUCUUUUAGACUAAAAGGGGAAUUGUGGGGGAAGCUGUAGCCACACCUUCUUAGGGGCUGGCUACAGGUGUGCCUGACCAGGCUUGUGAGGGCAUGGUCAGAGUGACGUAAUGUGACUGCGUUUUCGGUUUCGGUUUCUCUUUGGUACUUGCUGUACAGGCUGCUGACCCACUGGCUGGCUAGGUCGCUCUGUAAGUAAGGCUUUUC
ensembl:lncRNA